UGCCUUACACAUGCAAGUCGAACGGCAGCGCGGGGCAACCUGGCGGCGAGUGGCGAACGGGUGAGUAAUAUAUCGGAACAUACCCUAGAGUGGGGGGAUAACGUAGCGAAAGUUACGCUAAUACCGCAUACGCCCUACGGGGAAAGGGGGGGAUCUUCGGACCUCUCGCUAUCAGAUGAGCCCAUGUCAGAUUAGCUAGUUGGUAGGGUAAAGGCCUACCAAGGCGACGAUCUGUAACUGGUCUGAGAGGAUGAUCAGUCACACUGGAACUGAGACACGGUCCAGACUCCUACGGGAGGCAGCAGUGGGGAAUAUUGGACAAUGGGCGCAAGCCUGAUCCAGCCAUGCCGCGUGAGUGAAGAAGGCCUUCGGGUUGUAAAGCUCUUUUGUCAGGGAAGAAACGGUGAGUUCUAAUAAAGCUUGCUGAUGACGGUACCUGAAGAAUAAGCACCGGCUAACUACGUG
rnacentral:rRNA from 1 species